UACGGAGGGUGCGAGCGUUGUCCGGAAUCACUGGGCGUAAAGGGCGCGUAGGCGGCCUGAUAAGUAGGGGGUGAAAUCCUGCGGCUUAACCGAGGAACUGCCUGCCAGACUGGAUGGCUUGAGACCGGGAGAGGUGAGUGGAAUUCCCAGUGUAGCGGUGAAAUGCGUAGAUAUUGGGAGGAACACCAGUGGCGAAGGCGGCUCACUGGACCGGUACUGACGCUGAGGCGCGAAAGCCAGGGGAGCAAACGGG
rnacentral:rRNA from 1 species